GGGAACAUACCCUUUUCUACGGAAUAGCUCUGGGAAACUGGAAUUAAUACCGUAUACGCCCUACGGGGGAAAGAUUUAUCGGGGAAGGAUUGGCCCGCGUUGGAUUAGCUAGUUGGUGGGGUAAAGGCCUACCAAGGCGACGAUCCAUAGCUGGUCUGAGAGGAUGAUCAGCCACAUUGGGACUGAGACACGGCCCAAACUCCUACGGGGGGCAGCAGUGGGGAAUAUUGGACAAUGGGCGCAAGCCUGAUCCAGCCAUGCCGCGUGAGUGAUGAAGGCCUUAGGGUUGUAAAGCUCUUUCACCGAUGAAGAUAAUGACGGUAGUCGGAGAAGAAGCCCCGGCUAACUUCGUGCCAGCAGCCGCGGUAAUACGAAGGGGGCUAGCGUUGUUCGGAAUUACUGGGCGUAAAGCGCACGUAGGCGGAUAUUUAAGUCAGGGGUGAAAUCCCAGAGCUCAACUCUGGAACUGCCUUUGAUACUGGGUAUCUUGAGUAUGGAAGAGGUAAGUGGAAUUGCGAGU
rnacentral:rRNA from 1 species